rnacentral:lncRNA from 1 species
UCUCCCGUGCCGGUCUCCUCCUCUCUGUGCCAGUCUCCUCCCCUCUGUUUCAUCAGUGAAACAGAGGGGAGAAUACCCCACAGAGGGGUACCUCCACCCUGUCCUUGCCUAGAGACCUACUUACAGAGCCUUACCUUUUCUUGUGGUCGGUUGAAGCUGUGGGGUAUCACUUCGGUUCAUAGUCCCUCCUUCCUCUCUUGGGGCUGCGGGUACCUUCUACCUCCAGCUCCUGGGACUAGCUUCCUGGUACAGCAAUUCCAGGGGGUUAGAGGUUAGGGAGGGUAGAUGCAAGGUUCGGGGGGGUUUGCAGGCUUUGGGCUAUAAAAGCUUGGCUUAGGAUUUGACCCCAAGGAGAGGUGGCAUUCUCUCCUUCCUCAGUGCCCUGGGAGCCACCACCUGCCCCUCCCUUCAGGCCAGCUCAGGGUUUAGCUGCCGAGGAGGAGUAGGUGGCGGGCUCUGGUUGUGCAUGCUUGUGGGGGUCUCUUCUUUGGCCAUCUGGUGGUCCUGUCUUUUCAGCCAUCGGGGAAGAUGGUAUUCUGUUCUUCCUGGGCCUGCAAGGCUGUUAACC